GCGCCAAUGGUCAAGUGGUUAGGAUAUCGGAAUUUGCUUCCAAAGGCCGGUUUGAUCUCCGGUUGGUGCA